AUUUGUUUUAAAUGUGGCUAAAUGAAACAGUGUCCAGUGAAAACUUAACAAAUCAAAGAACUAUCUAGUAGGUUUUUAUUUGUUUAGGAAAUUAUUUUGCCAGUCACUUCAUUAUGGGAGGAGAACGAUUUGAAAUAAACCAGCCAGAAGCAUAUUUGUUUGGUGAAAACAUGGAUUUGAACUUUCUAGGGGGAAAGCCAACACCGUUUCCCUAUCCGGCUCCGCAAGCAUGUGAAGCCACUCGUCCACUGAGGAGUUUGAUCAAUAUUAGAAAGGAGUCGCUACGCUUUGUUAAACCACCAGAAGAUGCUGAUGAGAGAACUCGUAAAUCCACAACUUCCUAUAACAUAGAGUUUACCUUUGAUUCUGAUGUGCGCUGUGCUAUUACUAUAUAUUACUUCUGUACAGAGGAGGUAACAGCACAAGGAUAUUUCUGUAAGCCCAGAGAUCCCACAAUGAAUUCGGAAACCUACCAUUAUAAGUGUGGAGUCAAUCAGCAGUUUGUUCAGGUCUCUCACACGUUUGAUCCCUCCAAGUAUACAGAAGACGAUUUGAAUUGUAGAUUUGAAGAUGAGAUCUUUCUUCCUGUGGUAGUUCAGUGUGUUGCUGAAGAAGGUGAAGAACCUUACCAAUCUCACACAUUAAUAGCAGUUGUGGAGAAGUACUCAGACAAUACAUAUUCACUAAAACCUUUGAAGCAAAAAUUAUUUGUUGAUGGACUUUGCUAUCUGAUGCAAGAGAUCUACGGAAUUGAAAACAAAAGUGUCAACCAUUCAAAGGAAGCUAAUGAGGACGAGAUAGAGGAUAAUGGAUCAGAAUGUGUUAUUUGUAUGAGUGAUUCUCGUGACACACUCAUCCUUCCUUGCCGUCACCUAUGUUUAUGUAACAGUUGUGCCGAUUCCCUGCGUUACCAAGCCAACAACUGCCCUAUCUGUCGAUCUCCAUUUCGUGCUUUACUUCAGAUACGAGCUGUCAGAAAAGCAGUGUCAGGAAUAUCCCAGUUGGGAGGAGGAGGAGAUAAUCAGACAACGCAGGAUGUUCCUGUUGGUUAUGAACCAGUGUCUUUGCUCGAAGCUCUGAACGGCCCUUACCAGUCUUCAGCUCCACAUCCACCAUCAGUCAUUCAUCCACCUUUUCCAUUGAACACUCACAGCCCUGAUGGUUCAACAAAGUCUAGAAGUUUAGACAGGUUACAGUCUUGUAGUGCUACUUCUCUGAGAGUCCCAGGGCUGAGUUCUGGCUCCGACAAAGAAGAUUCAGGAAGUGAGCCCCCUCAACUAGACAGACCUACCACUCCUGAAGUGGUUAUCACUACAACGUCAUCACCUUCCGACAAGCUCCAUCUCAAAUCUGAUACCCUACCCCUAAGUCGUGGAGAGGCACGACGCCACAAGAAAGUGCCCAGAUCAUCAGGACCCGAAAAAAUUCGACUUCUCACAGAAUCUGUACAGAUUGUGAAUGAAAUAGGAGGAGGAAAGAGAAAAAUGACUAGUGGGGAGCUGGAAGGAAGUGAAACGAGGUCUUUGUUAGAUGGAGGGGCGUUAAGUAGAAACGUUAGUGCAGUGGGUGGAGCUGUAGUAUCUGGUGCUAAACCUUCUCAGUCAGACUGUCGAAUAAGUCCUCUUUCCAUGUCCACGCCUCACUCUCUUCAUUUGUGUGAUAAAGUUGAAAACAUUCCUGCAGGAACAGAUGUUUCCCCUAGUGGUGAUGACUCUGACUACUAUACCCCCGAGGACCCUACAACUACUAUUUUUGUUGACCAAGGAACUGAUACAAGCUUAGAUAUGAAUCAGACAGAAGAUUUGCCAUUGUCUGUUAUGCUUUCAAGUACGAAAACAGAGACAGAUGCAGGUGCUCGACAUACUGCACAUGUACCUGUAACCAGGAAUUCCAGUGAUGAAAGAGUUCACACUAUUAAAGAAGAUCCAUUGAAAGAGGUUGAAUGCGAAGAAAAGAAGAAUCCCGAAAGCGACGAGGAAGAUCGAACUGAGACUACCACGGGAAACUUGCACGUUCUUUCCUCCCCAACACGCCACCCGUUAUUGCUCCAACAAGAAACCAACUGGUCUCUUCCUGGAACUCCGGCAAGUAAUGCAAGCAACAGAAGCAGUGGAGACAGUUUCGGUAGCAAUUCUAGCACACGUCUUCUUCUUCCACAGCAGAGUUGUGACACUCUUCCAGAGUAGGUUGUUUUCAGGACAUCAAUAUUUAUUAUAUAUUACAUUACCGUACUUUUUGAUUUGCUAAUCCACAACAUACUCAAACUAAACAUUUUUGGUUAUUUUUGUUAGUACACUGUGUUUUAUAUCAAACUUAUCCACUACCUUUGUGUUCCACAUACUGAAUAGUUGUGUUUUUCAUUACAUUACAUUUUUGAUUUGCUAAUCCACAACAUGUUAUUUUCACCAAACUGUGGUCCUACUCUAGUAAUUCUUGUAAUUUGUCUUCUUUAUGCCUCAGUUUGUAAGAUAAUAUUUAGAAUAAAUAACAGUUAGGUCAGAAGUAAGAGUUACGACACACAAAAACAUCUGUCUUUACUGAAUUGUCUAUCAAUGACUAUUAAUUUCUGUGACUUCAGAAAGCGUGCGUACUUUAGUAUGAUACGGCGUUUACAAUAAGUGCAACGUUUUAUGUAAUCUGACCACAACAGAAAGAUGGUGAACAUAUGGUGUUAUACUUUUAAUCACGUGUAUAUAACAAAUGGCUGAGAUAAACUUCUAAAACCAUCUGUGCAAGUAUCGUAGCCGUGUUUAUCACAUGGAAAUAUAUGUCGUGGAUGACAUAUGUGUAUUAAUUCUACAAAUUACUGGUACUGAGUGGAAGAUUUGUUUUUACCAAGUUCCAACGUCCAGAUGGGAGUAGAAUUGGUAAAUAAAACAUGGAAGUUAUUUUUCCUUCUUGGCUGUAUGUUAUAUACUUAAUAUAACAUUACAUAUAUUCGGCUGUCUUUAUUUACAUUUGGUGUAACAUGUAUACAUUAAGUUGUAGAUCUUGUAAGAGUUUAGUAAUUAUUUAUGUAAAAAUAUAUAUAUAUACACAAAAUGAUAGGUUAGUUAUAGUUAAUCUUAACAAUAUUAUGUGUUUAUGAAAUAUUAUUUACAGUGUUAUAUCAGUUUUGUUGCUAAAAUUAUAAUUGUCACCUAUCUUUUUUUUCUGAUUUUUAUCAUUGUUUACAUCAUUACAAAGCUUCUGGGCCAAACAUGGCCUUGUGGUUAUCAUGCUAUACUAUGGACUCUCUGCACUUUAGGGCUUUAGAUGCAUUAUAAGGGUACAGUCAAAUCCCACUGUUUGGUCAGACAAGAGUAGCUCAGGAGGUGACAGUGGCUAGGCUGCUUCACCCGUAGCGUAAUCAGAGAUGGCUGGCUUCGAUAGCCUUUGAGUAGCUUUUCACAAAUAUCUGAAACAAACAAAUACAAUGUUUCGAGGAAACUUAUUCACGUGCCAUCCUAAAACUAUAAUUUGAGAAUGAUAAGAAUUAGUAACACUUGUAAAUAAAAAAUAUUCUAAUGACACAGUUAAUAAACUUGUUAAUAUUUUAUUAAAAACUAUCAUGUCUACACCCCCAUAAAUACUAGUGCUGUAGUGGUGGGUGGGUGGGUCUUCACUAAAAAUCUGGGUCCAGUAUCUACAAAAAUAACAAGCAGUGGCAUACAUAAGGAAGAUUUUUUUUUAUUUUUUGCUUCCUGGAUUUGAAAUUAUUUUGUAGACAAAAUGUUUUGUUGAAUGUUUACGUGAUAAUGGGUGUUAAUUCAUGUUAGGUUGUUUAACGCUUGUAAUCAGGUUUAGAGUAGAGUUUAUUAUGUGUACUGUCCGGGUUUACUGGGUUCAAACGGUAAUAUGUUAAAUAAUUAUUUAUAUAGUUAUGUUAAUUGUUUUAGGAGUUUUUUUCUUAUGUGUUUAUAAACCGUGGUUUUAUUUGUAUUUUGUGUUUCUCAUGUUUUACACAUCCUAACAGCAGUUAAUAACUUGCACAUUUUAUAAAAAAAUUUUUCCAAAGACAACUAACAUAGCAAAGUCAAGUUUUAUUCAGUUUAACUAUAAGAAAACAAAGUUUAACUUAUGUUAAAACUAAAACAUUAACAGGUAAUUACGACUUAGACUAUUUAUUUUUGUCUUUUGACUUUGGGUUAGAUCCCGAGAUUAAAAAAAAAGAAGUCUUCCGAAAAUAGGAUUAUAUUUCUGAAAGGUUUUUUUUUUGUAUCCUGUAGUUGAACUUCAGUGUAA
rnacentral:misc_RNA from 1 species